ensembl:lncRNA MEG3 maternally expressed 3
UCUUGAAAGGCCUGUCUACACUUGCUGUCUUCCUUCCUCACCUCCAAUUUCCUCUUCAACCCACUGCUUCCUGACUCGCUCUACUCCGUGGAAGCACGCUCACAAAGGGCUAAUCUCGGGCCUUGUCGAAGGAAGAGGCUGCAGACGUUAAUGAGGUUAGCUGCUGGAUUCCAGUAUUCGUCGCAUAAGGAUCCUUCUUUGUCUGCGAAGGAAAAACACACUGAUUAUCAUAAUGAGUUCCUGACCUGGCCAUCCCGGGGUGCCCUUGACCAGCCCCGUGUCUCCUCAGGGUGUCCCAGCACCAGCCUGGCACAGAGUGGGGCUCAGUUAGAGUAUGUGGGAUGUUGGUUUCGCCAGGUCUCCCUCUCGAGGUGUGGUUGUGACUGCGACCCUUCCCUUGCCGUGAUGCCUUCCUCCCCCGGGGCUUGGUCCAGCUCCUUCACUCUCUAGCAGCUGCUGGGGCCCACCUCCCAUGCCGAGGACCAGCAGGGGAAACCUCCAGGGAGCAUCUGCAGGCUCUGCUUCUGCCCGGCUGCUGGCUUGCUCUCCCUGGUGGCUCUCCAGCGGCCAGCUUCCUCACCCACCCGGCACUCCGCUUUGCUCUGUCUCCUGAGGUUCCCAGUGCCCCCGACAAGCCCCUGCUGGUGUCUCCAUCUCCUGCCAAGCAUCCUCCAGUGCCUCCUCCUGUGGGCCUGGCCUCAGGGCUAUGGACAGACUCCUGUCCCAUCCCAGAGACCCCUCGUGAUCGUGCCCUGGCACGUGGGCCGUGGCCCGGCUGGGUCGGCUGAAGAACUGCGGAUGGAAGCUGCGGAAGAGGCCCUGAUGGGGCCCACCAUCCCGGACCCA